rnacentral:rRNA from 1 species
UUGAGCGAUUUACUUCGGUAAAGAGCGGCGGACGGGUGAGUAACGCGUGGGUAACCUACCCUGUACACACGGAUAACAUACCGAAAGGUAUGCUAAUACGGGAUAACAUAUUUGAGAGGCAUCUCUUAAAUAUCAAAGGUGAGCCAGUACAGGAUGGACCCGCGUCUGAUUAGCUAGUUGGUAAGGUAACGGCUUACCAAGGCGACGAUCAGUAGCCGACCUG